GAUGAACGCUGGCGGCGUGCUUAAUACAUGCAAGUCGAACGGAAGACUAGAAAUAGGAAUUAGUGGCGAACGGGUGAGUAACGCGUUGGUGACCUGCCCCGAAGAGGGGGAUAACAGCUCGAAAGGGCUGCUAAUACCCCAUGUGGUCAUUUGGAUUAGAUGCCUUAUGACUAAACGGAUUUAUUCGCUUCGGGAGGGCCUGCGUCCCAUCAGCUAGUUGGUAAGGUAAUGGCUUACCAAGGCUAUGACGGGUAGGGACCUGAGAGGGUGGCCCCCCACAAUGGAACUGAAACACGGUCCAUACACCUACGGGUGGCAG
rnacentral:rRNA from 1 species